GCGGGCGUAGUUCAAUGGUAGAACAACAGCCUUCCAAGCUGUUUAUGCCGGUUCGAUCCCGGUCGCCCGCUCCA
rnacentral:tRNA from 1 species